UACGUAGGGCGUAAGCGUUGUCCGGAAUUAUUGGGCGUAAAGAGCUCGUAGGCGGCUUGUCACGUCGGAUGUGAAAGCCCGAGGCUUAACCUCGGGUCUGCAUUCGAUACGGGCUAGCUAGAGUGUGGUAGGGGAGAUCGGAAUUCCUGGUGUAGCGGUGAAAUGCGCAGAUAUCAGGAGGAACACCGAUGGCGAAGGCAGCUCGCUGGGACGGUACUGACGCUGAGGCGCGAAAGCGUGGGGAGCAAACAGG
rnacentral:rRNA from 1 species